ensembl:lncRNA
UACCAUUAAUUAGUUUGUGUUCUUUUUGCUUAGUAAAUGCCUUGAUGGACAAAUUGUCUGCACUCCUACAUUUACAUCUACAACUACGACUACAAUUUAUUACACAUCAACAUCUCAGCCAUCUACAACAAUAACCCACACAGCCACAACACAACCACCAACAACUCAGAGCACAACACAAUACAUAAGACCAACAACAGAAUACACAACGAAGCCAACAACUGAGAAGACAAAAGAAUCUACAACUCCAAUUAAAGACACAACUACAACACAGCUAACAACAGCUGUGAGCACAACAGAAUACAAAAUCACAACACAACCACCAACCUCACAGAGCACAAAGGAAUACACAACACAACUAUCAACUACAGAGAGAACAACAGAAUAUACAACCACAACACAUCCACCAACAACUGAAAGUACAAGAGAAACAUAUACAACUCCAAUGGAAGAAACAACCACAACACAUCCACCUCCAACCGAGAGGACAACAGAACACAGAACCACAACACAUCCAUCAACGACUGAAAGUACAACAGAAUCAUAUACAACUCCAGUGGAAGAAACAACCACAACACAACCACCACCAACCGAGAGCACAACAGAACACAGAAUCACAACAUAUCCAUCAACAGCUGAAAGUACAACAGAUUCAUAUACAACUCCAGUGGAAGAAACAACCACAACACAACCACCACCAACCGAGAGCACAACAGAACACAGAAUCACAACAUAUCCACCAACAGCUGAAAGUACAACAGAUUCAUAUACAACUCCAGUGGAAGAAACAACCACAACACAACCCCCACCAACCGAGAGCACAACAGAACACAAUCACAACACAUCCACCAACAACUGAAAGUACAACAGAAUCAUAUACAACUCCAGUGGAAGAAACAACCACAACACAACCACCACCAACUGAGAGCACAACAGAACACAGAAUCACAACACAUCCACUAACAACUGAAAGUACAACAGAAUCAUAUACAACUCCAGUGGAAGAAACAACCACAACACAACCACCACCAACCGAGAGCACAACAGAACACAGAACCACAACACGUCCAUCAACAACUGAAAGUACAACAGAAUCAUAUAAAACUCCCGUGGAAGAAACAACAACACAGCCACCAAUUUUACAGAGCACAACAGAAUACACAACCCAACAAUCAACAACAAAGAGGACAACAGAAUCAGAUACAACUCCAUUGGAAGAAACAACCACAACACAAUCACCAACUUCAGAAAGUACAACAGAAUACACAACACAAGUACCAACAACUGAGAGCACAACAGAAUAUAAAACCACAACACAACCACCAACAAGUGAGAGCACAACUCAACCAACAAUAGCGACGAAACAAUACACAACCAGAACUCAGGCAACUACUGGAACUACAACCUCAGUAAAAUAUAGCACUUCAGUGUCAACAGUGUCCACAACAGAAUUAAUAAUAGUCACUGGCCCUGUUACCACCAAUCUAACUACAAGGUCACCUCAAAAACUGUAUACGACUAUUAAUCCUACAAUUACGACCCCUUCUCUGACAUCUGUACUCAGUACUACAAUACCUACCACUGAACACACAACUCCAGGUAAUAGUACUAGUCAUUGAACUCACAAAUACACUACUACAUGAUAACAUAA